GUAUGGCUCAGUGGUUAAGAGGUUAGUCUGCCGUGCAGACGACCCGGGUUCGAUUCCCGGGUAUG